rnacentral:rRNA from 1 species
CACGCCGUAAACGAUGUCAACUAGCCGUUGGUCCUAUUUACAGGAUUAGUGGCGCAGCUAACGCAUUAAGUUGACCGCCUGGGGAGUACGGCCGCAAGGUUAAAACUCAAAUGAAUUGACGGGGGCCCGCACAAGCGGUGGAGCAUGUGGUUUAAUUCGAUGCAACGCGAAGAACCUUACCUACCCUUGACAUCCAGAGAAUCUGUUAGAGAUAGUAGAGUGCCUUCGGGAACUCUGAGACAGGUGC